rnacentral:lncRNA from 1 species
AUGAAAUUUAUGACACGAUUUUUGCCAGUCUCGAUCCCGCCUACAGCUUCUCUGAAACCCCCCUGUACCGGAUCCUGCAGAGGCGGUUUCUGGGAGUGCAGCUGGCCCUCACGGGACGAUUCCGAUGUCCUACCCAGUGUGAGGUGGAGAGACUCGCAGCCACUACCUAUGGGCAUGCCUACGUGCCGUCCUGCGAUGCAGGCGGGGCGUACCGACGGGCGCAAUGCCAACGGGAAGGCCCAUGCUGGUGUGUGGAUGCCAACGGGCGGGAGAUCCACGCAACUCGGAGCCAGGGGGACCGCCCUACUUGUGGUACGUCACGCCAGUCAGUCGGUCAGUCAGUCAAGCAGUCAGUGGUAUGUAGUUAGCACCUGCCACGAACUAGGGAAGGGAAUAAGCCCUAUGGGGAAAUCCAUCCGUAGCAAAGGACACAGCCGGGUCCUGACCUCAUGGAGUCUGUAACCUGACGGGAUCGAGAGCCCGCCGGCUGCCGUGGCAAGAUCUGCUUCCUGCGACUUCAACGUCCGAAAGGAAACGGAUCGGCCGGCCCCAACCUCAUGGGGGUCUCUCUCCUCAAGCCCCGGGGAACAGACCUCCACUCUUCUCCCUCCCCCCCCCCCUCCACCACCCGGGGUGGGUUUCCCCGCUGGUGUUGGUAUGAUGCGUUUGGAGAGCUGGGGCCCGUCUCUUUGCCUGUACGUCCGCCGGCCUGUCUGCCCGUCGGCCCACCCGCGUGGCUCUCUUCCAGCCCGUCUCCCUGUCUGUCUAGAGCACGAGGUGGGGCCGGAGGAGUCACAGGGAACAAACACUGGCCCCGAGGGUAGACUGACCCUCGGCCAAUCCCCUGGGAGAGGAUGGCCCUAUAUAACUGAACUACCAGUCCACCCGGCACCGCCCGCCGCCCCCCUGCGGUCCACCCUAAAGCGGCAGCGGCCCGAGGGUGCGAUGGGCGGUGUGGGCAGUGGGCGCCGACCACCUGACUGAGGCUUCUCACGCUGGGCAGACUGGGCCGGGAGGUGGCGGGCCAGGGGACGGUGGGUCGGGGGGAGCCAGAGGUCGGCGGGAAUCGCGGAGCGCGGCCGAAAGGCGAGGAAAGGGACAACGGGCCAGGGAGGGGCCCCCUCCGUUCGUGCCACGGGCUGGGGGCCCCCGGAGUCCACCGGGGUUUGCAGGGGCGGGUGCUGAGCCACACUAUCUCCCGGUCCAGGCUCAGAGAGGCCGUGUGUUUCCGAGAGGCGGAGGGCCGUGUCCGGACUUCUCUACGGACCCUCCGGACCACUGGGCCGAGGUGGUCCGACCUCCGGUCUGGAAGAACGUGCGCAGCCCCAGGAGGAUGCCCGCCCGGCCGGGUCCUGCCCUCUGACCUUCGAGGAGCUGCUGGUGGGCUCGGAGCAGCUUCCCGAUCCCGAGCGGAGGCCCGACCCCGGGCGGCGGUCCGGCCCCAGUCGGCGCCCCGCCUGGCAGACCGUCCUCGGCGAGUUGGUGAGGGGGCUGUUCCCCACCCGGGAGCUGGCCCUCACGGCCCUCCGACUGGCCCGUGGCCCACGGCGGCUCCAGCGGGACCUGUUCGGGGGGAUGUUCCUGACCCGGCUGGGGCACCGGAACCUGUCAGGGGCAGUGGGUCCCCGGAGCACGGCGGACCUCAGCCGGUUCUUCCAGCCUCGGGGGGCACGGGGACCGGCCGGCCUGCCGCCUGACGGGGACGGCGUGGGACGUCUGGACACCCUGCUGACCCGCCCGGACUUCCUGCCCUUCCUGCGGCGCGUGGCGGCCGUUCCCUCCCCCCUUGCCCGGGACCUCGGCGAGGCGGUCCGCACGGUCCUUGAGGCCCAAGGCU